GGCUUAUAAAGUAUGUCCUCGAUUUUAGUGUUUUAUUUAGAUUAGCAAUAGUGAAGUGAAGGAAAACUAUGGAUGUGUUUUAAAGUUUUUGUAUUAAUGAGGUGUCAAUAUGGCUGUGAAGGGUUUGAUGAUGAGAGGGAGAGCCUUUAGUUGGGGUUUGUAGCAAAUUAGCCGAGGGAACAGGGGGUUGGUAGGAAGGGGGAGUUGGAUCUAGGCGGGUGAGGGAAUGACUCCUAG
rnacentral:misc_RNA from 1 species